UUAAAACUAAUCUUUAAGAACAAUAAACAUUAACACACGUAUGUAAGAGGCAGAUGUUUCUUUUGCCUCAGGCUCCAAUGAUUGGCGCGGUACUGUUCCUAAGUUUCCAAACCUCGCGUGUGAAUUGUAGCAUUUCUGCUGCCAGCCUUAGCAAAUAAAAAUACAGGACACCCAGUUAAACUUUAAUUUCAGAUAAACAACGAGUAAUUUUGCCUGAGCUAUACGCCACAAAAUUAUUCGUUGCCUGUUAGAACUUCAAAUUUAACUGGGCAUCCCAUAUAUGAUCUGGCACCCCUAAACAUAAUUACGUUAUGUGGUUGACAGAGCUGCCUGUUUCUUGGUCCAAUGUUACUGUUCCUCCAACGCCCGACUUGUCACUCCGGCCGCUGGUUUUGCAGUGGUGACUCGGGAUCACACACCGGCAGUCCAGUGUCAUGAUGAGCGCUGGUGGACACCUCCGAUCCUUAUCAGGUCCGGGAGACCCUGCCUUGGCAUGCAUCACCCUUCCUGAUGCCUCUGCCCCAGCCACACUACCUUCUUCAGCGCUAUUUUGUUUGCUAGUCCCUCCUCCUGGGAUGUUCUCCUAGGUAGUUACUGCCCUCAUUCCCUUCAGGCCGAUCAAAUACCACUUUAUAGGAAAGCCCUUAUCAUUCAGGGGACUAAUGACUACUAGGAAGGAAUUUUUCACUCAUCUCCCUUCUCUUUUCCCUGCUUUGUUUUUCUUUACAGCAGUUACCGGCGCCCGUUAAAUAAUAUAUUUACCUGCUUAUAAGCUUAAGGUCAGUAACCCCCACCUGGAACAGAAGUUCCUGGAGGGCGCUUCCAGGAGCUCAGUACCCGGAAGGAAACUUGUGGGAGGUGCCAGGAGGGGGCGGGGCUUGUUGUGGCAGCUUCCGGAAGGGGCAGUGCCAGAGGAUUCUGGAAAGGCUCUGGUGUUCCCAGAGAUUUGGUGACAACAUCAGGAUACCAAGUGAACUUCUGACGGCAUUUGGAGACAAGGAGAAACAUAGGCAUGGCACUCUGAGAACUCUUUUUAGUUCAUAGUCUAUCUCGUCAUUUCUGAGGGCUGUUGGUUAAGACCCUGCAGAGAAUAACUGCACAGCUGGAUUGUCAUCUGCUCAGUUCCCCCUGUCGGUAAGUUACCCUGAUAAGGAAAAAUUAUGUUAUAAGAUGGCUGACAAGACUGAUAGGGGAAUUCCAGUUGCCACCCCAAGACUCCACUUCUGGGUUCUUCUCCCUACGCCACUUGCCACGUGCAUCAAAUUACUUCUGAUGUGGAAGUAACAGACUAUAAAUUGUCCCUCAUGCUUGUACUCGGGGUUCAGACCUCUGGAGAGCAAUCUCCUCUGAGCCCGCCAGUGUGAAAUAAACCUCCUGCCUUCCAAGAUCUCCAAGUGCCACUUGGUUCUUCUGCCAGAUGAUCCAGACCAGGUUCCAUAACAACCCCGAAUAAAACUGUGUAAACUAUAUGGAGUGGCUUGCUUUGUUUUCCAGUCUCAAAGUGCCUUCUCACUUUGGGGGAUGCUUUACUGUCCUUCUCUCACCUUCUAACAAGGCCUGUGAUCCCGAGCUGCCAGAUCUUUAUCAGCUUAUGUACAUGUUGGUUGAACCUGGGGAAGCCCAAAAAUGGAUGCAGGAAGCAAGAUGGCAAACCCUCAAAGAUGAUAUUCAGGAUCCUCAACCAAAAAGGACUCACAAAAUAGCAACUGAACUUUUACAAGCCAUUCCCAGAGUUUUCCCUGCUUGCACUGAUUGGUCUAUUAUUCAAGAAUGCAAAUAAAAGAAAGAUCUUUUGCAGACUUCAAGGUCCAUUUGAAAGCAUUCUUCCAAUGGCGUUCUGUUCAAUACAAUUAAUAAGUCUACCCAAUCUCUCUAGCUGCCUUAUUUGUAAAUGGAUUAUCCCCUGACAUUUGUGGAUUAAUAAAAAGACAAAAUAGGAUAGGAGGCCUAUUUUGAACUCAUGACCAUACUGAAAACUUUGAAAGUCUUUGGACCAAGGUCAUAAACUAAUGGCCUUACAACUACAACUUCUCCUAGGCCAGAGACCUCAGUUAACACUGAGCCACCCAUGUUGCAUCCCCCUGGGAGUCCAUUAUCAAUAAGCUGGCCCAGGAGCUGAUGUCUCACUUGUAAUUAAUUAGGGCACUGGCGAAAAAAUUGUCCUAUAAGGUCCUAUACAAGUUUAUUAAUAAUCAGAUACCUAUAUGGGUUCCUCCCAAAAUUGACAGGGACCUUCCAGUAAACUACUACCAGUAAUAUCCUUAAAUAGCCAAGGAGAAUGGUGAAUAUGAGAGCUAUGUUUUCUACUUUAAACCCCAUUCUCCUAGGACAACAAUUCCCUUGGAGUGAAAGAGAAGUUUCCAUACUAGGGGGUAUCUAAUAAAGUUCAGAGAGAAUUUAUAUCUCAACAAGUACAAAUGACUCUGGCCCCUUUCAUUGAAAAACAUUUCUUUCUCCCCUGUGAUACAGGAUAGCCUUGGUCAGUCUAUUAGCUAGAGAUCUCCUUUCUAAAUUCAAAUGUGAAUACAGUUUGCCUCCAAUGGUGACUUCACCUUAGAGUUCCCUUACUAACCUGAAUCUGAUUUUUAAUGUUCUUCUUUUUUUUAAUAUUUACUUUUUGCAUGGGAAGGAGGGACAGAGAGAGAGAGGGAGACAGAGAAUCCCAAGCAGGCUCUGCAUUGUCAGUACAGAGCCCAGCAUGGGGCUUGAACCCAUGAACCAUGAGAUCAUGACCUGAGCCAAAAUCAAGAGCCUAAUGCCCCCACAUGCCCCAGAUCUUUAAUGUUCUUUACAAUCUGUCCUUGAUACAGAAGAUGGAUUCCAGCAGAAGUUUCCUAAUUUAAUUGAGGUGCCUGGCAUUCAUUGGGCUACUUUGAUUACUGACAAUGGGAGAAUAAAAAGUGUAGAGCAUAUAAACAUUCAAAUAGACAAAACCUAACCUCUUCCUAAAUUGCCCCAAUAGGUGUUAAAGCUUGAGGCCAUACAAGGUAUCACACCACUAA